GACGAACGCUGGCGGCGUGCCUAACACAUGCAAGUCGAGCGGAUGAGGGAAGCUUGCUUCCCGAUUUAGCGGCGGACGGGUGAGUAAUGCCUAGGAAUCUGCCUAUUAGUGGGGGAUAACGUUCCGAAAGGAACGCUAAUACCGCAUACGUCCUACGGGAGAAAGUGGUUGAUCUUCGGACCUCACGCUAAUAGAUGAGCCAAGGUCGGAUCAACGAGGUGGUGGGGUAACGGCUCACCAAGGCGACGAUCCGUAGCUGGUCGGAGAGGAUGAUCAGCCACACUGGCACUGAGACACGGUCCAGACCCCUACGGGAGGCAGCAGUGGGGAAUAUUGGACAAUGGGCGAAAGCCUGAUCCAGCCAUGCCGCGUGUGUGAAGAAGGUCUUCGGAUUGUAAAGCACUUUAAGUUGGGAGGAAGGGUUGUAAGCUAAUAUCUUGCAGCUUUGACGUUACCAACAGAAUAAGCACCGGCUAACUCUGUGCCAGCCGCCGCAGUAACAC
rnacentral:rRNA from 1 species